GCCUGGCUGGCUCAAUCAGUAGAGCAUGCAACUCUUGAUGUCAGGGUUGUGAGUUCAAGCCCCACGUUGGGCA
rnacentral:tRNA from 1 species